GAUGAACGCUGACAGAAUGCUUAACACAUGCAAGUCCACUUGAACUUCGGUUUGGGUGGCGGCCGGGUGAGUAACGCGUAAAGAACUUGCCUCACAGUUAGGGACAACAUUUGGAAACGAAUGCUAAUACCUGAUAUUAUGAUUUUAGGGCAUCCUAGAAUUAUGAAAGCUAUAUGCGCUGUGAGAGAGCUUUGCGUCCCAUUAGCUAGUUGGAGAGGUAACGGCUCACCAAGGCGAUGAUGGGUAGCCGGCCCGAGAGGGUGAACGGCCACAAGGGGACUGAGACACGGCCCUUACUCCUACGGGAGGCAGCAGUGGGGAAUAUUGGACAAUGGACCAAGAGUCUGAUCCAGCAAUUCUGUGUGCACGAUGAAGUUUUUCGGAAUGUAAAGUGCUUUCAGUUGGGAAGAAAAAAAUGACGAUACCAACAGAAGAAGUGACGGCUAAAUACGUG
rnacentral:rRNA from 1 species